AAAGCGGGAGGAGUCCACCAUGGAAAAGAUACUUUGGUACUCCACGUAGUAAAUGAUGAAUGUCCAGGUGGUAGGGCCUUUCGCCUCCUUUGGCGCCGAAGUUCCCACUUUCAGCAUUCCCCCUGGGGAGUACGGUCGCAAGACUGAACCUCAAAGGAAUUGACGGGGACCCGCACAAGCAGUGGAGUAUGUGGUUUAAUUCGAAGCAACGCGAAGAACCUUACCAGGUCUUGACAUCCCUCUGACCGUCCUAGAGAUAGGGCUUCCCUUCGGGGCAGAGGUGACAGGUGGUGCAUGGUUGUCGUCAGCUCGUGUCGUGAGAUGUUGGGUUAAGUCCCGCAACGAGCGCAACCCUUAACUUUAGUUGCCAGCAUUAAGUUGGGCACUCUAGAGUGACUGCCGGUGACAAACCGGAGGAAGGUGGGGAUGACGUCAAAUCAUCAUGCCCCUUAUGACCUGGGCUACACACGUACUACAAUGGCUGGUACAACGGGAAGCGAAGCCGCGAGGUGGAGCGAAUCCUAAAAAGCCAGUCUCAGUUCGGAUUGCAGGCUGCAACUCGCCUGCAUGAAGUCGGAAUUGCUAGUAAUCGCGGAUCAGCAUGCCGCGGUGAAUACGUUCCCGGGUCUUGUACACACCGCCCGUCACACCACGAGAGUUUACAACACCCGAAGUCGGUGGGGUAACCGCAAGGAGCCAGCCGCC
rnacentral:rRNA from 1 species